AGUGAAGCGGUAACAGCUCAAAUUUGAAAGCUAGCUCUUUUAGGGUUCGCAUUGUAAUUUGUAGAAGAUGCUUCGGGUGUGGCCCCGGUCUAAGUUCCUUGGAACAGGACGUCAUAGAGGGUGAGAAUCCCGUAUGUGACUGGGUGCUUUCGCUCAUGUGAAGCUCUUUCGACGAGUCGAGUUGUUUGGGAAUGCAGCUCAAAAUGGGUGGUAAAUUUCAUCUAAAGCUAAAUAUUGGCCAGAGACCGAUAGCGCACAAGUAGAGUGAUCGAAAGAUGAAAAGCACUUUGGAAAGAGAGUUAAACAGUACGUGAAAUUGUUGAAAGGGAAGCGCUUGCAACCAGACUUGCGCGCUGAUGAUCAUCUGGGCUUCUGCCCGGUGCACUCGUCUGCGCUCAGGCCAGCAUCGGUUUUGGUGGUGGGAUAAAGGCCUUGGGAAUGUAGCUUCUUUCGGGGAGUGUUAUAGCCCUCGGUGCAAUGCCGCCUACCGGGACCGAGGACCGCGCUUCGGCUAGGAUGCUGGCGUAAUGGUUGUAAGCGACCCGUCUUGAAACACGGACCAAGGAGUCUAACAUCUAUGCGAGUGUUUGGGUGUCAAACCCAUACGCGUAAUGAAAGUGAACGGAGGUGAGAACCCUUAAGGGUGCAUCAUCGACCGAUCCUGAUGUCUUCGGAUGGAUUUGAGUAAGAGCAUAGCUGUUGGGACCCGAAAGAUGGUGAACUAUGCGUGAAUAGGGUGAAGCCAGAGGAAACUCUGGUGGAGGCUCGCAGCGGUUCUGACGUGCAAAUCGAUCGUCAAA
rnacentral:rRNA from 1 species